rnacentral:rRNA from 1 species
ACUCAAAUGAAUUGACGGGGGCCCGCACAAGCGGUGGAGUAUGUGGUUUAAUUCGAUGCAACGCGCAAAACCUUACCCGGACUUGACAUCCUCCUGAACGGACCUAGAAGUAGGACCGGGCCCUUCGGGGACGGGAGAGACAGGUGCUGCAUGGCUGUCGUCAGCUCGUGUUGUGAGAUGUUGGGUUAAGUCCCGCAACGAGCGCAACCCUUGUGUUCAGUUGCCACCAUUAAGUUGGGCACUCUGAACAGACUGCCGAGGUUAACUCGGAGGAAGGUGGGGAUGACGUCAAGUCCUCAUGGCCCUUAUGUCCGGGGCUACACACGUACUACAAUGGUAUAGACAGAGGGACGCCAAACUGCAAAGUGGAGCAAAUCUCGCAAACUAUAUCUCAGUUCGGAUUGGAGUCUGCAACUCGACUCCAUGAAGUUGGAAUCGCUAGUAAUCGCGGAUCAGCAUGCCGCGGUGAAUACGUUCCCGGGCCUUGUACACACCGCCCGU